UCUGUCCAGGCACGAAGGCUCCACCAGGUUCUUCAACUUUUCCACUUCCGCUGAGAAGAGCAGCAAAGAGGCCGAGCACCGCUAUCGGGUGAACAACCUGAGUCUGCGAGAUGUGGCCGUCAGCGUGGACUUCUGGGCCCCCGUGCAGCUGAACGGAGCGGCUGUGUGGGACGUGGCGGUGGAGGCCCCAGGCCAGGUGCCCACCACGCCUCGCUGGCCAGGGCCCGGUCCCACAGCCCGCACACCCUGGCAGGGGCACCGUCCACGCUUGGGUGGCUGAGGAUUCACGUCUCUCUCCAGAGCCUGCCCUGUGCGCGGGAGAGGGAACCUCCGAGGACCUCUGACCUGAGCCGGGUCCCGGGGAGUCCCGUGCUGGACUGCGGCGUUGCGCACUGCCUGAGGUUCCGCUGCCACAUCCCCUCCUUCGGCGCCAAGGAGGAGCUCCACUUCACCCUGAAGGGCAACCUCAGCUUCGCCUGG